UACGUAGGUGACAAGCGUUGUCCGGAUUUACUGGGCGUAAAGAGCGCGCAGGCGGUCGAUCAAGUCGAGUGUGAAAGCCCCCGGCUCAACUGGGGAGGGUCAUUCGAAACUGGUCGACUCGAAGGCAGGAGAGGGUAGUGGAAUUCCCGGUGUAGUGGUGAAAUGCGUAGAUAUCGGGAGGAACACCAGUGGCGAAGGCGACUACCUGGCCUGUUCUUGACGCUGAGGCGCGAAAGCUAGGGGAGCGAACGGG
rnacentral:rRNA from 1 species